ACAACAUGUCCAGAGCUGAAGGUGACAGUAAUGAGCAAAUUCACAACUUGGACAACGGCACUGCCGCUUCUUCAGGAUCCUGACGUAAAGGAUAACACCUGUUCAUGAUGUGCGCAAGAUGGUGUAAGAGCAGAGAACUACUGGAAACAGAAAACAGAAGUACAGAGACUUGCCCUAUUGGAAAGGUAAUGUCAGUUACUCGUUGUGGGCGUGGCUGAAUUGAAGCAGACUCACCCCAGACCAUGUGUGCGAGCACGGAGAUUUACGGCAGACUCACUGCCUUCAUGCUUCUUCAAGUUUAAUCUCAGAUGCCCUGUGUGUGUGUCAGUCAAGCUAGCGAUGCUAAGAUCGAAGACUUCAACACGUUUUCUAAUUAUUGCACCCUUGGUAAGCGGAGCGAGUUUUCACGGUGCUUGAAGGAUGCUCAAGUGUUGCUGGACAAACUUCUGUGGAUGACACCAGCAAAUAAACUCACCGCACUCCUUCAUCUGCCACGGAAGCAAGAUUCUACAACAUGCUGCGUGGAUGCUACAGCUGCAGUAAGAAACUUUGGCACACUUGUGUAUAAAGCAACGCAAAAAAACACAAGAUAAGAACAUUUACACCUGCUCAUCUAAUUCAGUAAGGCAAUCCAAAGUAAGUUAUACGAGUAAUGAGUAUCAGGAUUAAAGCCUAAAUAAUUUCAGUCUUGCAAAGUAAUAGUGUAUCUUAGAUCAGCAACAUCCUAUUAGAUCCAAAGGUCUAAGGCCCAAACGUCUGUUAUCUUUAUUUGUGAGCUUACACUGUGUGUGAUUGCUAAUCUUGGGUGUCCAUUAAGUGUAAAUGUCUGAUGUGACAUAGUGUUAACAAUAAGUUAAAACCAUCUCUCAACUACUUUGAGUCCAGACAUAAAACACUCAAGUUUUAUAAUUAACCUCGCAGUGCAGACGUACAAACAAAAUGUUAACGCCUGUGGAAACAGACAAACUCCUGGAAGCGCAACAGGUCAGGUCCAGCUCUCGUGAGCGACGCUUAACAGAGAAGGGUCAGGAGAUGCAUGAACAGGAAGCAAGGAAAACUGAAAAGGCAUUCAAUAAGGCAUAUGACUCUUGGAAGCAAACAGCAAAAGAGAUAAGAGUCAGACUGAAGAGUUAUUGCUCACUAGAAGACCUUGGUAAAAGCCAAAGAGACAUUAAGGCUGGACAUGCCAUUGUACAGAAGCAUUAUGAGACAAUUCUACUUAACCACACCUCUGCUCCAGACAUUGUCAAGAGAAUGGAUGCAUGUGUCACUCUGACAGCUGAGACUUGUGAACUUGUCAGUAAGCGACUAGAGAGUAUAGAUGAAGCCUUCAAUGAUCAACUCGAAAAGGAAAGAGUAAGGAUGGUUUUAAAUAAAGAAGAGUAUGGAUCUGUUUUUGGCAACACAAAUACAGAAACAGUAAUUUCAGAGUCACCACGAGGCUCAGACAGUGACUCAAACAUCACCUCCAGGUCCUCCACCAAACGUGCAGACGCAGAAGCAGACCUUGCAGCCAAAUUAGAACAGGCAAAGGCUGUGCAACAAAUACAAGCCCAACAAGCCAAGUUAAAUAAAAUGGAAAGUGAAUGGAAACUUAAAGAAUCACAAAUGCUAUCUGAAAUUAGGCAAAGGGAGGCAGAAAUGAAAUCAAAACUUGAAGAUGAGCAACUAAGGUUACGACAAAUGCAAGCAGAAAAUGAGGUUAAGGUAGCAGCAGCAAGAGUAAGAGUAUACAACAUUUUUGAUGGUGUUGAGAAUAACGAAGAGUCUGACUACAAAAUACUACCUAGUUGCCAAAAUGUUAAAAUAGAGACCCCACUAAACCCACAAGCUGCAGAAUUUCAGCGUCAUCAUGCAACAUUGGAAGCCCAAUCAACUCAGGAUGCAGUCAGCUUGGCCCAGGCAAUUGCAAGCUCACUCACCUUAAACCGUCUGCCUGUUCCAGAACCCACAGUCUUCACUGGGGACCCUUUAAAGUUUUUAGAUUGGAAGUUAUCCUUCACGACUCUCAUUGACCAGAAGCCUUUGCCAGUUAGUGAAAAAAUGCUUUAAAAAUGCUUAAAAAGUUAUCUUGCAGGUGAAGCACAAAAGGCUGUGAAGGGAUUUUUCUACCGAAACACAGAAGAUGCAUAUAAUGGUGCCUGGACAGUCCUGCAAGACAGGUAUGGAAGUCCAUUCAUUAUCCAAAGGGCAUUUAGAGACAAGCUCACAAAGUGGCCCAAAAUAGCGGCAAAUGACCCCCUUGCACUCAGGGAUUUUGCAGACUUCCUCCAAGGCUGUGCUGAGGCUAUACCCCAUGUUAAGGGUCUGGCCAUCCUAAAUGAUUGUGAGGAAAAUUACAAACUCCCCAGAAAACUGCCAGAGUGGUUGGUCUACAGAUGGAGCCGAAUCAUUGUGGAGGAAUUAGACAAACAGGGAGAUUAUCCAAGCUUUGCACGGUUUACAGAGUUCAUGCAGAGAGAAGCACGGAUAGCUUGUAACCCUAUUGCUUCCCCAUUCUUGAUGAACACUAGAACUACAGAUGAGAGAGUUCCAAAGAGAGCCAAAGCACUCAGAACAAGUGUUCAACUGGGAAAUUCCACCUCUAAGUUACCAGAACCCUCAAACUCGAGGUCAAAACCACCCUGCUUAGUCUGCAAGGAUGAAACACAUGGUCUUGCUAAGUGCCCUACAUUUGCAGCAAGGACUACGGAUGAAAAGAGAAUUUUCAUUCACGUAAAUCACCUUUGCUUUGGGUGUUUAAGGAAGGGACACAACACCAAGGACUGUAAAAGGCGACACACCUGCAACACGUGCGGUCGACGUCACCCAACAUGCUUGCACAGAGAAAACAAUGGGUCUGUAGAACCAAUAAGUAGCAGUUCUGUUGUUGCAAGAGAUAAUUCAAGCAAAGAGAUUCACAAGGUUAUGGCCCAUGCAAUCACACAGCACAGUUCUGCCACCUCAAGUAUUGUCCCUGUCUUUGUGUCAUCAGCAGCGGAACCUCAGAGAGAAAUUUUAACUUACACCCUGCUCGACACACAGUGAUUCAACUUUCAUCUUAGAGGAUCUAGUGGAUGAACUGAAUGUAGACACUCAAGCAGUGCAGCUAAGACUUAGCACAAUGACAGCUGCCGCCACAGUCAUCACAAGUAAAAUUGCUUGCGCUCUGCAAAUUCGGGGAUUCAACACAGGAACGUUCAUCCAACUACAGCAAGCCUACACGCGAGACUUCAUUCCUGUUGAUAAGUCUCACAUUCCUACAACGAAGACAGCUCUGCAGUGGCCUUACCUAAAACACUUAGCAAAUCAGCUGCCCCCACUUCAAGACUGUGAGGUAGGGUUGCUUAUUGGUUAUAACUGCCCAUCAGCUCUGGCACCUUUAGAGGUCAUUACAGGUAAUGAAAAUGAACCUUUUGCACAAAGAACUGUACUAGGCUGGAGCAUUAUAGGUUUAACCAAUCCCCACCUAGACAGGAAAGGGCACCAGAGCCUAGUGCACAGAAUUUCAGUGAAGGAAGUUCCACUGCCAUCUGCAAAUGAUGUUUUAAAGGUCCUGGAAUCUGACUUUAGUGAAAGGAGCUAUGAGGACAAAUACGUGUCGCAAGAUGGUGUUCGCUUUGUACAACUCCUCAGUGUCCAUCUUUCCUUUGUCGGAUGCUGUUGCUAUGAGAUGCCCCUCCCUUUCAAGGGUAGUAGUCCACCUUCGCUACCAAAUAACAAAAGGCUGGCGUUGGUUCGGUUGCAACACCUGAAGAAGUUGUUACAAGCAAACAAGCAGUAUUAUGAUCAUUACACGUCAUUCAUGGAGGAAACGAUAAGCAAAGGUGAUGCAGAGCUGGCCCCUUCAAUAUCAGAGGGAGAGACACUGUGGUACAUUCCCCACCAUGGAGUGUACCACCCCAGGAAGCCAGACAAAGAAAGAGUUGUUUUUGACUGCUCAGCAAAGUUCCGUGGUAUCUCCCUAAAUGACUCACUGCUCACAGGCCCAGAUCUGAUCAACUCCUUAGUAGGAGUUCUUUGUCGCUUUAGGAAAGAAACAGUUGCUGUAGUAUGCAACAUUGAAAGGAUGUUUCACCAAUUCUACGUGGCGCCUGAACAUCGCAACUACUUGAGACUCCUGUGGUGGGAAGAUGGACAGCUGCAAUCAGAGCCAAAAAAGAGUACAGAAUGGCAGUCCACCUCUUCGGCGCGGCCUCCUCCCCUGGAUGUGCCAACUUUGGCCUUAAGUACCUGGCACGACAACACAAAGAUAACUUUCCUUCAGCCUCAGCCUUUAUUGAGAAGAACUUCUAUGUAGACGAUGGUCUGGUGAGCGUGCAAUCAAUUGAAGAAGCCAAGAAUCUAAUCAUUGAAGCACAGAAGUUAUGCAAAGAUGCAGGUCUGCGUUUGCACAAGUUCAACUCAAACCAGAGGGAUGUUCUGUCUUGUGUAUCCCCUUCAGAAAGGGCCACAACUACGGAACCUCUCAGCAUUAACCCAGAUAUGACACAGAAUGAACGUGUACUUGGCAUACAGUGGUCUAUAGAAGAUGACACAUUUGGCUUCAAUAUUGAUGUGAAGCAUUAUCCACCAACUCGGCGUACUAUCCUGUCAGUCGUGGCCUCUCUUUUUGACCCACUUGGGUUUUUGGCUCCCUUCAUAUUGGGUGGAAAGUGCAUCCUGCAGGAGCUAUGUCGCAGAGGCAACGGAUGGGAUGACCCACUUCCUCAGAACUUGCUGCCACGGUGGGAGGAGUGGAAAUAUGGUCUUCAGAGGUUAAAGGAAGUCACCAUACCCAGAUGUUAUCAUCCUCAAGACUUUGAUAACAUUAUUAGAGUGGAAUUGCAUCACUUCUCAGAUGCCAGCAACGUGGGAUAUGGUGCAUGCUCCUACCUCAGAGAUAAAAAUAACAACAACCAAGUCCAUUGUAACCUUGUGAUGGCUAAAGCAAGAGUUGCACCUACCAAGGUCCACAGUAUCCCAAGGCUGGAGCGCUCUGCUGCGGUCACUUCAGCAAAACUAAGUACUGUGCUUAAGACUGAACUUGAAAUGAAAAUUGACAGAGAAUUUUUCUGGACUGACUCCCAAGUAGUGUUGGCAUACAUCAACAAUGAAGCACGAAGAUUUCAUGUGUUCGUAGCCAACCGUGUUCAAGUGAUAAGAGCCAACACAGACCCAAGUCAGUGGCAUUAUGUCGACACUACACAAAACCCAGCUGAUCACGCCUCUAGAGGUCUUCAUGCAAAGGACAUCUCUUCAACUAACUGGCUUUCAGGGCCUAGGUUUUUGUGGGAAGAGGAGGUUCUCCCAGCGCCUAAUCCACCAACUGAGUUGCUUGUUGACGAUCCAGAAGUUAAAUCAGUCCAAGCCUUUGCAACACAGGUCAGCGAGCAAAGAGAUGUUUUGAAUCGCCUGAGUCGGUUUUCCACUUGGACAAGGCUCAUUAAGGUGGUUGCCAGAAUCAAGAGACUAGGGUGCAAGCUGGAACACCAAAGCAAACUUGUGACUGUUGAAGAACGUAAGGAGGCUGCCAAGGUGGUGAUUAAGCUUGUUCAGCAGGACACUUUCUCCCAAGAGCUAAGGCUACUUCGUAAGGGAAAUAGUCUUCCGAGAUCAAGUCCUCUUGUUCGCCUUGACCCUAUUCUGGAUGAUGGACUUAUUCGUGUUGGAGGCAGACUGAAAACGUCAUCCCUUGAUCUAGAGCUUAAACACCCUGUCAUUCUCCCAAAAGACAGCCAUGUCACAAGGCUGAUCCUGUCUCAUUACCACAACCAGAUUUGUCACCAGGGCCGUAAUCAAACCUUGAUGGAAAUCAGAGCAAAUGGAUUUUGGGUCAUUGGUGGGAGCAAAUCAAUUGCCAAAUACAUACACAAAUGUGUACAGUGCCGAAAGCUUCGACGUUCAACCGAGGAGCAACGUAUGUCAGAACUUCCCAAAGAACGUGUAGAAGUCUCAGCACCCUUCACAUACUGUGGUAUGGAUUGCUUUGGCCCAUUUAUCAUCAAGCAGGGCCGUAAAGAGUGCAAGAGGUAUGGUCUCAUCCUCACUUGCUUGUCUUCCCGAGCAGUCCAUAUAGAAAUGCUUGAAGACCACAGAUGCUCUCAUUAACGCUUUAAGGUGCUUCAUCAGUCUCAGAGGAGCUGUUUCUCAAUUACACUGUGACCAGGGCACAAACUUUGUGGGUGCCAAAAACGAGUUCAAAGAAGCACUCAAACAAUGUGACUUCAAGACCCUAGAGGCAUUCCUAGCAGAUAAGCAGUGUGAGUUUGUAUUUAAUGCCCCUUCAGCUAGCCAUGCAGGUGGAAUCUGGGAACGACAAAUUCGAACCAUACACAGUGUGUUAAACCUCACGGCUGCUCAAUGUUCAGGCAGACUGGAUGACGCUUCCCUCAGAACGCUGUUCUAUGAGGCUAUGGCCAUUGUUAAUAGUCGCCCACUGGUUGUUAAUGGAAUCGAUGACCCCAGCUCUCCAGAGCCGCUGACGCCAAACCACCUCAUUUUGAUGAAAUCCAAGGUUGCUUUACCACCUCCUGGAAAAUUUGUAAAAGAGGAUAUGUAUGCUGCAAAGAGAUGGCGCAGAGUACAAUAUUUGACUGAACAGUUCUGGAGUAGGUGGAAGAAAGAAUAUCUUUUGAAUGUGUCCACAAGGCAAAAAUGGCAUGUACCCGGGCGUAACCUAAAGGUGGAUGACAUAGUCAUUAUCAAGGAAGACACACUUCCAAGGAACCAAUGGCAGUUAGGACGAGUGGUUGAAACUACAGAAUCUGCUGAUGGUCUAGUUCGUCGAGUAAAGGUACGAGUAGGAGAUCGUAGGCCGACAAAGAAAUACGACCAUUCUCUCAAACCAUCAGUUAUUGAAUGUCCUGUCCAAAAGUUAGUACUUCUCGUGGAAAAUUAAUAAUUGGCAAACAGUUCAUUCAGGCACUUACAUCAGACAUGUAACAUGUUAUCACAAAUUCUCUCCGUUGAAACUCACCACCUGUGGUCCUUCAUUGUAGACUAGAAAUCAUUUAUGAUUGUGUUGUUUUUCUUUACUUAUUUUAAGUAUCAUAACAUGAUUUGGUGGGAGUGUAAAUGACCACAAAGGUAAUGUCAGUUACUCGUUGUGGGCGUAGCUCAAUUGAAGCAGACUCACCCCAGACCAUGUGAGCGAGCACGGAGAUUUACGGCAGACUCACUGCCUUCAUGUUUCUUCAAGUUUAAUGUAAGUUUGUAUGUUACUGUAACGUUUAUUAUGAUGUUGUUUUAUUUAACGCUAUUUGGUGAUAUGUAAACACUUUACAAAUCAUAGUUGAGUUUUCUUACCUCGCUUGCAUGCAUGUGCUAUUUUUAGCUCAGAUGCCAUAUGUGUGUCAGUCAAGAUCGAAGACUUCAACACGUUUUCUAAUUAUUGCACCCUUGGUAAGCGGAGCGAGGUAUGUGAUUUUGACUCAUCGUAUCAGCAAACAAAAGUUUAGAGAACCCUAAAUGUUGACAUUGGUUGUAAUAUUUGUUCUUUGGGAAACUAAAUAUUUUCACGUGCUUAUGCAGCGGUGCACAUUGGUCAUUUUUUUGUGUGUAUUACCAUGCUUUAUUCAGAGCUUACAUUCUGUAUUUAUGUGUAGACAUGUGUGUUACUGUAAUAUAUGUGAGUUUAUUUGCACUUUGUUAAAUGUGAGUGACCAUUAAGCAGCAACUUUGUUCAUUUUUAGUUUUCACGGUGCUUGAAGGAUGCUCAAGUGUUGCUGGACAAACUUCUGUGGAUGACACCAGCAAAUAAAUUCACCGCACCCGUUAGAGACUCUCCUGUGAAUUUUUUUUUGAUACCAAGGGCAGCUACAUUUAUCAUCUAAAAUGUGUCUCUUGAUGUUCACCUCCAAUGGCCAUUCUGUGAAAUUGUCCCAUUCUAGAGCUGAGAAGAGACAGCAGGAAAGGGAAUCACCUGCUAGUGUCGCGUCAGAUGUCUACAUGUCCACAAGUUGUUUAAGAAAAAGUAAGGUAGGAGGAAUGAAAAGAAAUAAGAUAAAUAGACUCUAAGGUAUUUGGAGAUGCAAGGAGUGCAGCGUGACUUUUUCUAGUAGAUACGACUUUUGCACACAAAAGGCAAGAAGUCACAGAGUUCAAAACCAGAUGGCCUGCUCUCUUCUGUGUUUCUAAGGUUGGUCAAUAAAUGUGUCUAUAUAUACAAUGUGAUUCUGAUCAGACAAACAAAAUAUAUUAAAAUGUAUCAAAAAGUAUUGUUUACACAUUUGCCAUUCAGUGCAUUGAUAACUUGUGUACUUUUUUCUUUUUAAGAAUAAAUUUAAGAGGACUACAACAGUUUGCUGCAACAGUUCUUCUCUAUGCUGGAUGGUUAUUCUUCAGACCUGAAAACGGUGUUUGGCAAGAAAGGCGGCAUUGAAGGACAAAAGAUUAAGAGCAUCAUGGUUCCCAUAACCCAGAGUAACUCCAUUGAUGUCAGAAGAGUACAUCCUUAAAGCCCAGCGUGUGUUCCUCAAUGAAGAUCCUGGCAACCUUGUGAACGAAUGGAUGAUUGUGGACGCCUUGGAGACAAUGCUUGAAGUUUUUGUCAUUCACAAAGAUGCAGAGGAAGAUGAUGACCCUGAAGAUGUAGUCAUCGUUUCAAGUCCUGGAUGAGUUGGGUAGUGUCCCACUUGCUGUGUUGUUGUUUGCUCUUGUAUAUGCUCUCAACCUCAGCUACCCUCCACUAAAAGUUGUUUGAAAUAUUGGCCCAAUGCUGUAUGUACAAUACUGGAUGUUAGCAACAUUUUGUAGCUGCCUUUGACAUUUGAAAGCUGUUUUAUCGUUUUUAUGAAGCUUAUUAAGUAUUCUAACAAGUCUAAAUCCAAUGUGCUUUGUGUCUUCUCCAACCUACACACCAGCUGGGGAUAUAUGUUAGUUUGCAUAAUAGAAAUACUGUUUCAAAGAUGACUUUAUUUGUAUGUAAUUUUGAAAAGCUAAUCUUGGCACAAAACAUUUGUUAACUUUACGUUGGUUGUGUUAGUAUAGCAUAAUUUAUUAAUUAAUUUAAAUUAACUUGUUACUACCCUAUACAAUUAAGUAACAAGUAUUAAUAUCUACAUGAUCAAAUAACCCAAGAAAAUUAUGUUCAAUCAACCCUAAAAACAUAAGUGGGACUGACCCAUGGUCAUUAGGUAACAUUAACACGAAUAUAUCAUGUUGCUUCAUCCUGUUUACAUUUGGUUCACUAAGCAAAAUGGUUUCUUGCUAUGUUAACGCAUUUUAGUUAGGUGGAAAUACUUUCCAUAAUUUUAUUAUGUUCAUCCAACAAGUUUUUUUUUCGAGUGUACAGGUGAAAUCCAAUUUUUAUGAAAUCACAUUUUAUGGGUUUUUAUACAAUUAUAUUUAAUAUAACAGGUGUAGUACUGGUGCUACUGGUAGGACUAGCUCUCUAUUUUGAGGAAAACCAAAGACUCAAAUCAACAACCCCGAAGGUAAAUAAAAUGCAGCACUUAUUCAUAUGUUUGCCCGGUGGUUUGUUUAAUUUUUAAUAUAAAUUUUACUGAAGGUUAGAGUUAUAGACUAUAGUUAUAGACUGUUUAUGAACAUGUUUAUUUGCUCUAUCUGAAAUGUUCUUGUCACUUUUUUUAAGAGUUGCUCUUUAAGAGGUUGACUGUUAAAAGGGACCUGUCCAGUCAGACUGACUGCUUGUCUUUGGACUGGACCUUGUCGUCCACCAGAGUCUUAAA